UCAAUGGACGAGAGUCUGAACCAGCCAAGUAGCGUGAAGGAUGACUGCCCUAUGGGUUGUAAACUUCUUUUAUAUGGGAAUAAAGUGAGCCACGUGUGGCUUUUUGUAUGUACCAUACGAAUAAGGAUCGGCUAACUCCGUGCCAGCAGCCGCGGUAAUACGGAGGAUCCGAGCGUUAUCCGGAUUUAUUGGGUUUAAAGGGAGCGUAGGCGGACGCUUAAGUCAGUUGUGAAAGUUUGCGGCUCAACCGUAAAAUUGCAGUUGAUACUGGGUGUCUUGAGUACAGUAGAGGCAGGCGGAAUUCGUGGUGUAGCGGUGAAAUGCUUAGAUAUCACGAAGAACUCCGAUUGCGAAGGCAGCUUACUGGACUGUAACUGACGCUGAUGCUCGAAAGUGUGGGUAUCAAACAGGAUUAGAUACCCUGGUAGUCCACACAGUAAACGAUGAAUACUCGCUGUUUGCGAUAUACAGUAAGCGGCCAAGCGAAAGCGUUAAGUAUUCCACCUGGGGAGUACGCCGGCAACGGUGAAACUCAAAGGAAUUGACGGGGGCCCGCACAAGCGGAGGAACAUGUGGUUUAAUUCGAUGAUACGCGAGGAACCUUACCCGGGCUUAAAUUGCAGAUGAAUUACGGUGAAAGCCGUAAGCCGCAAGGCAUCUGUGAAGGUGCUGCAUGGUUGUCGUCAGCUCGUGCCGUGAGGUGUCGGCUUAAGUGCCAUAACGAGCGCAACCCUUAUCUUUAGUUACUAACAGGUCAUGCUGAGGACUCUAGAGAGACUGCC
rnacentral:rRNA from 1 species